rnacentral:misc_RNA from 1 species
GAAAUGCGAUACGCAAUGCGAAUUGCAGAAUCCGCGAGUCAUCAGAUCUUUGAACGCAAUUGGCGCCGAUCAUAUCGGCAUGUUUGUUUCAGUGUGGAAGGAAUCACAAAUCAAAAUGCGAUUGAAAGUGAAAGAAAAUUUAUUUUCCAGAACUUUCUCUCGUUAAACAAGUCCGGUGUCUGUGUGAAUAUCCACGGGGAAGCACACCCAAACAAACGAAGUAGUCUCAAUUCUGAGAUCUCGUUUUGUAAAAAAAUGGUGUCUUCAUACCUGGUAUUCAACUAAACGCAGGCCCAAAAAAGUAUAAAAAACAAUUUCUCCAAUUACACCUGAAAUCAAGCAAGACGACCCGCUGAACUUAA